rnacentral:rRNA from 1 species
GGCUAAAUACUACCUGAUGACCGAUAGUGAAGCAGUACCGUGAGGGAAAGGUGAAAAGAACCCCGGGAGGGGAGUGAAAUAGAACCUGAAACCCUGUGCUUACAAGCUGUGGGAGCACUUUAUAUGUGUGACCGCGUACUUUUUGUAGAACGGGCCAACGAGUUACGACAGUAAGCAAGGUUAAGUACUUAAGGUAUGGAGCCGUAGUGAAAGCGAGUCUUAAAUGGGCGUUAAGUUUUCUGUCGUAGACCCGAAACCGGGCGACCUACCCAUGAGCAGGAUGAAGCGAAAGUAAAAUUUCGUGGAGGUCCGAACCCACGAGCGUUGAAAAGCUCGGGGAUGACUUGUGGGUAGCGGUGAAAUUCCAAUCGAGCCCGGAGAUAGCUGGUUCUCCCCGAAAUAGCUUUAGGGCUAGCCUCAAGGUUGAGAAAUACGGAGGUAGAGCACUGAAUAUCCUAGGGGGCAUUGCGCUUACCGAAGAUUAUCAAACUCCGAAUGCCGUUAUUUUAUACUUGGGAGUCAGACUGUGGGUAAUAAGAUUCAUAGUCGAGAGGGCAACAGCCCAGAUCGUCAGCUAAGGUCCCUAAAUGUAAGUUAAGUGGAAAAGGAUGUGGGAUUGCAUAGACAACCAGGAUGUUGGCUUAGAAGCAGCCACUCAUUUAAAGAGUGCGUAAUAGCUCACUGGUCGAGUGAUCCUGCGCCGAAGAUUACCGGGGCUAAAACUUACUACCGAAGCUACGAUAUCAUUUAUGAUAGGUAGGGGAGCUUCCUAUGCAGGCUGAAGCAUGACCGUAAGGACAUGUGGACAGUAUAGGAGUGAGAAUGUUGGCAUGAGUAGCGAGACGUGGGUGAGAAUCCCACGGGCCGUAAACCCAAGGUUUCCAGGGGAAGGUUCGUCCGCCCUGGGUUAGUCGGGACCUAAGCCGAGGCCGAAAGGCGUAGGUGAUGGACAACAGGUUGAGAUUCCUGUACCACCAAUAAUCGCUUGAGAGAAGGAAUGACACAGUAGGAUAAGCUAACCACACUGUUGGUUAUGUGUGGCUAAGUACUGAGGCAGUCAAGGUAGGCAAAUCCGCCUUGAUAAUGCUGGGGUACGAUGGGGAGCGAAAUUAAGUAGCGAAGUAGCUGAUUUCACACUGUCGAGAAAAGUUUCUAUCGAGAUUAAAGGUGCCCGUACCGCAAACCGACACAGGUGGGUGAGGAGAGUAUCCUAAGGCCAGCGAGAGAACUGUUGUUAAGGAACUCGGCAAAAUGACCCCGUAACUUAGGGAGAAGGGGUGCCACGUUAGGGUUAACGCCCGAGGUGGCCGCAGAGAAUAGGCCCAAGCGACUGUUUACCAAAAACACAGGUCUCUGCUAAGUCGCAAGACGAUGUAUAGGGGCUGACGCCUGCCCGGUGCUGGAAGGUUAAGGGGAUCUGUUAGGAUUUAUCCGAAGCAGUGAACUUAAGCCCCAGUAAACGGCGGCCGUAACUAUAACG